CAGAUUUAAAAAACUGAGUACUGAAGAUUGCUCGUUAAUAUUGAAUGAUGUACUCAAGUUAUGCCAGAUCCUUCGAGUUGGAAAGGAAUUGCUUGCAUAUCUAGUUGUCUUUAAAGGAUAGCUGCUUGUGUUGAGGGUCCAAAUGCUUUUGCAUCCGUUGCAGAUCAGAUACAGUCUUCUGGUUUUGAGAAAGAUGAACCUGAGAGAAGGCACAAACAGGAUGCAAAUGUCAGCAGCCUUUACGUCUUUGAUUGGAACUUGGAAGCGACACCCAUCUUUGUUAUAUUGCUGCAGAAAUUUAGUGAGAGGGCGAGGAUAGUUUGUUUGCUCAUGCGACUGAAGCUCUAACUCCGCUGUCUCUAGGUGCACUGUCCUUCUGCAUGGAGGGUAAAAGGUGAAUAGACUUCUUGAUUUUACUGCUAGCCUACUGGACCAUCCACGUACUAAGGCGUUAGUUACUAGAAAGAGGGUCUUGUUGGCUUACUAUCGAAAGCACUUAAGAGGUGUGUUUGUGAAGGGAAAAUGUUCACAGACACCAAAAUUUCUGCUGAGCUUAGUUUUACUCUUCUUGGGUGGUGCCUUCCUGUAUUCAAGGCUUUCGCACUAAUAUUUGCUUUUCAAGUUUCUAUGCAACUCUCUGGCGUUUAUGACAAGUCCUUUUAAUUGGGAAGGAAAUGCUUGGGUGUCAGUUAUCUUUAAAGGAUUAACUGCUUGUGUUGGGGGUAAAAUGCUUUUGCAGUCGCCGCUGCUGAUCAGCAGUCUUCUAGUUUUGAGAAAGAUGAAACUGAGAGAAGGCACAAACAGGAUGAAAACGCCAGCAGCCUUUACGGCUUUGAUUGGAAAUUGGAAGUGACACCCACCUUUGCUUUAUAGCUGCAGAAAUUUAUUGAGAUCGAUAUGUGGCGAGGGUAGUUUGUCUGCUUAUGCGACUUAGGUUCCAAGUGCGCUGUCUCUAGGUGCACUUUGCUUCUGCAUGGAAGGUAAAAGGCAAGUUAUCUUCUUGAAGCACUUGUUUGUCUCUUGGAAGCCUUAGAAGUUAGAAGCACCUGCUUGAUCGAGUAUAUGAUCAUAGGCAACUAAUCAAUUACAAACCAUGUAGUACUAAGCUAUCGUAAUGAUCCUUAGCAGCUAGAUCUUUCUCUUUAAUUGUACUUUUG